UGCAAGUCGAGCGGUAAGGCCUUUCGGGGUACACGAGCGGCGAACGGGUGAGUAACACGUGGGUGAUCUGCCCUGCACUUCGGGAUAAGCCUGGGAAACUGGGUCUAAUACCGGAUAUGACCUCCUAUCGCAUGGUGGGUGGUGGAAAGAUUUAUCGGUGCAGGAUGGGCCCGCGGCCUAUCAGCUUGUUGGUGGGGUAAUGGCCUACCAAGGCGACGACGGGUAGCCGACCUGAGAGGGUGACCGGCCACACUGGGACUGAGACACGGCCCAGACUCCUACGGGAGGCAGCAGUGGGGAAUAUUGCACAAUGGGCGAAAGCCUGAUGCAGCGACGCCGCGUGAGGGAUGACGGCCUUCGGGUUGUAAACCUCUUUCAGCAGGGACGAAGCGCAAGUGACGGUACCUGCAGAAGAAGCACCGGCUAACUACGUGCCAGCAGCCGCGGUAAUACGUAGGGUGCAAGCGUUGUCCGGAAUUACUGGGCGUAAAGAGUUCGUAGGCGGUUUGUCGCGUCGUUUGUGAAAACCAGCAGCUCAACUGCUGGCUUGCAGGCGAUACGGGCAGACUUGAGUACUGCAGGGGAGACUGGAAUUCCUGGUGUAGCGGUGAAAUGCGCAGAUAUCAGGAGGAACACCGGUGGCGAAGGCGGGUCUCUGGGCAGUAACUGACGCUGAGGAACGAAAGCGUGGGUAGCGAACAGGAUUAGAUACCCUGGUAGUCCACGCCGUAAACGGUGGGCGCUAGGUGUGGGUUCCUUCCACGGAAUCCGUGCCGUAGCUAACGCAUUAAGCGCCCCGCCUGGG
rnacentral:rRNA from 1 species